CCUACGGGUGGCAGCAGUGGGGAAUAUUGCACAAUGGAGGGAACUCUGAUGCAGCGACGCCGCGUGAGUGAAGAAGUAAUUCGUUAUGUAAAGCUCUAUCAGCAGGGAAGAAAGUGACGGUACCUGAAAAAGAAGCUCCGGCUAAAUACGUGCCAGCAGCCGCGGUAAUACGUAUGGAGCAAGCGUUAUCCGGAUUUACUGGGUGUAAAGGGAGAGUAGGUGGCAGAGCAAGUCCGAAGUGAAAACCCAAAGCUCAACUAUGGGAAUGCUUUAGAAACUGGUCAGCUAGAGUGCAGGAGAGGCAAGUGGAAUUCUUAGUGUAGCGGUGAAAUGCGUAGAUAUUAGGAGGAACACCAGUGGCGAAGGCGGCAUACCGGCGCUCAACUGACGCUCAUGCACGAAAGUGUGGGUAUCGAACAGGAUUAGAUACCCUAGUAGUC
rnacentral:rRNA from 1 species